GUUCGAUCAUGGCUCAGAUUGAACGCUGGCGGGAUGCUUUACACAUGCAAGUCGAACGGCAGCACGGACUUCGGUCUGGUGGCGAGUGGCGAACGGGUGAGUAAUGUAUCGGAACGUGCCUAGUAGCGGGGAUAACUGUGAAAGCGUAGCUAAUACCACGCUACGCCCUUCGAGGAAAGCGGGGGACCUUCGGGCCUCGCAUAAUGAAGCAGCCGAUAUCGGAUUAGCUAGUUGGUGGGGUAACGGCUCACCAAGGCGACGAUCCGUAGCUGGUUUGAGAGGACGACCCAGCCGCACUGGGACUGAGACACGGCCCAGACUCCUACGGAGGCAGCAGUGGGGAAUUUGGACAAUGGGGGAAACCUGAUCCAGCCAUCCCGCGUGGGCAAGAGGCCUUCGGGUUGUAAAGCACUUUUGGCAGGAAAGAAACGGCACGGGAUAAUACCCCGUGCAACUGACUGACACCUGCAGAAUAAGCACCAGCUGACUACGUGCCAGCAGCCGCGGUAAUACGUAGGGUGCAAGCGUUAAUCGGAAUUACUGGGCGUAAAGCGUGCGCAGGCGGUUCCGGAAGAAAGAUGUGAAAUCCCAGAGCUUAACUUUGGAACUGCAUUUUAACUACCGAGCUAGAGUGUGUCAGGGAGGUGGAAUUCCGCGUGUAGCAGUGAAAUGCGUAGAUAUGCGGAGGAACACCGAUGGCGAAAACAGCCUCCUGGGAUAACACUGACGCUCAUGCACGAAAGCGUGGGGAGCAAACGGGAUUAGAUACCUGGUAGUCCACGCCCUAAACGAUGUCAACUAGCUGUUGAGGCCUUCCGGGCCUUGGUAACAGCUAACUUGUGAAGUUGACCGCCGCGGGGAGGUAAGGUCGCAAGAUUAAAACUCAAAGGAAUUGACGGGGACCCGCACAAGCGGUGGAUGAUGUGGAUUAAACAUUCGAUGCAACGCGAAAAGCACUUACCUACCCUUGACAUGUCUGGAAUCCCGAAGAGAUUUGGGAGUGCUCGCAAGAGAACCGGAACACAGGUGCUGCAUGGCUGUCGUCGGCUCGUGUCGUGAGAUGUUGGGUUAAGUCCCGCAACGAGCGCAACCCUUGUCAUUAGUUGCUACGAAAGGGCACUCCUGGCGAGAUUUGCCGGUGACAAACCGGAGGAAGGUGGGGAUGACGUCAAGUCCUCAUGGCCCUUAUGGUGGGGCUUCACACGUCAUACAAUGGUCGAGACCAGAGGUCGCCAACCCGCGAGGGGAACCAAUCCCGAGAAACCCGAUCGUAGUCCGGAUCACGAAUCUGGCCUCGACUGCGUGAAGUCAGGAAUCGCUAGUAAUCGCGGAUCAGCAUGUCAUGGUGAAUACGUUCCCGGGUCAUGUAUACACACCGCCCGUCACACACCAUGGGAGUGGGUUUUACCAGAAGUAGUUAGCCUAACCGUAAGGAGGGCGAUUACCACGGUAGGAUUCAUGACUGGGGUGAAGUCGUAACAAGGUAG
rnacentral:rRNA from 1 species